rnacentral:pre_miRNA from 1 species
AAAAUGGAGAAGCUUCCAACCUCCCUCGAAGGCUUCCAAUAUACCAUGCUUCCUCAAAUUGGCCUUGUAAGCAUGGGAAUGUUGGAAACCCUAGGGGGAGGUCGAAAGCUUAUGACUCCAUUUAAUCAGUUCUGUACGUG